rnacentral:rRNA from 1 species
AGAGUUUGAUCAUGGCUCAGGAUGAACGCUGGCGGUAUGCCUAACACAUGCAAGUCGAACGAUGUCUUCGGACAUAGUGGCGGACGGGUGAGUAACGCGUGAGAAUCUGCCUCUAGGAUGGGGAUAACGGUUGGAAACGACCGCUAACACCCAAUAUGCCGUAAGGUGAAAAAUUUAUUGCCUGGAGAGGAGCUCGCGUCUGAUUAGCUAGUUGGUGGGGUAAGAGCUCACCAAGGCUUCGAUCAGUAGCUGGUCUGAGAGGAUGAGCAGCCACACUGGGACUGAGACACGGCCCAGACUCCUACGGGAGGCAGCAGUGGGGAAUUUUCCGCAAUGGGCGAAAGCCUGACGGAGCAAUACCGCGUGAGGGAGGAAUGCCUUUGGGUUGUAAACCUCUUUUCUCAGGGAAGAAGAUCUGACGGUACCUGAGGAAUAAGUAUCGGCUAACUCCGUGCCAGCAGCCGCGGUAAUACGGAGGAUGCAAGCGUUAUCCGGAAUCAUUGGGCGUAAAGCGUCCGCAGGUGGUUUCCAAAGUCUGCUGUUAAAGACUGGAGCUCAACUCCGGAACGGCGGUGGAAACUUGGAAACUAGAGUUCGGUAGGGGUAGCAGGAAUUCCCAGUGUAGCGGUGAAAUGCGUAGAUAUUGGGAAGAACAUCGGUGGCGAANGCGUGCUACUGGACCGUAACUGACACUCAGGGACGAAAGCUAGGGGAGCGAAAGGGAUUAGAUACCCCUGUAGUCCUAGCUGUAAACGAUGGAAACUAGGUGUGGCUUGUAUCGACCCGAGCCGUGCCGUANCUNACGCGUUAAGUUUCCCGCCUGGGGAGUACGCACGCAAGUGUGAAACUCAAAGGAAUUGACGGGGG